CAGUAGGUGAUACAAGCCACUGUCUGAACGUUUAGCGUUGACUGUGUGGAUGAUCGUGUGGUAGCCGAUGGAAGUAACGGUAGUGCGAUCAUCCGCUGUCAAAGCUUUACUACCAACAGUCCAAGUGGCUUCGGGACAUGGUUCACCAAUAA